GGCCUGGUGGUCUAGUGGUAUGAUUCGCCCUUCGGGCUUACGUAAGCCAGGCUUUGGCUAACCGAAGUAUGGGCGAGGUCCCGGGUUCAAUCCCCGGCCAGGCCC
rnacentral:tRNA from 1 species